GUGGGGAAUUUUGGACAAUGGGGGCAACCCUGAUCCAGCAAUGCCGCGUGCAGGAAGAAGGCCUUCGGGUUGUAAACUGCUUUUGUACGGAACGAAACGGUCUGGGUUAAUACCCUGGGCUAAUGACGGUACCGUAAGAAUAAGCACCGGCUAACUACGUUCCAGCAGCCGCGGUAAUACGUAGGGUGCGAGCGUUAAUCGGAAUUACUGGGCGUAAAGCGUGCGCAGGCGGUUUUGUAAGACAGGCGUGAAAUCCCCGGGCUCAACCUGGGAAUGGAGCUUGUGACUGAAAAGCUGGAGUGCGGCAGAGGGGGAUGGAAUUCCGCGUGUAGCAGUGAAAUGCGUAGAUAUGCGGAGGAACACCGAUGGCGAAGGCAAUCCCCUGGGCCUGCACUGACGCUCAUGCACGAAAGCGUGGGGAGCAAACAGGAUUAGAUACCCCGGUAGUCC
rnacentral:rRNA from 1 species